rnacentral:misc_RNA from 1 species
GAUGAAGAACGCAGUGAAAUGCGAUAAGUAAUGCGAAUUGCAGAAUCCGUGAGUCAUCGAAUCUUUGAACGCACAUUGCGCCCGUCAGUAUUCUGGCGGGCAUGCCUGUUCGAGCGUCAUUACGCCCCUCAAGUCCCCUGUGGACUUGGUGUUGGGGAUCGGCGAGGCUGGUUUUCCAGCACAGCCGUCCCUUAAAUUAAUUGGCGGUCUCGCCGUGGCCCUCCUCUGCGCAGUAGUAAAACACUCGCAACAGGAGCCCGGCGCGGUCCACUGCCGUAAAACCCCCCAACUUUUUAUAGUUGACCUCGAAUCAGGUAGGACUACCCGCUGAACUUAAGCAUAUCAAUAAGCGGAGGA